UGGGGAAUAUUGCACAAUGGGGGAAACCCUGAUGCAGCGACGCCGCGUGAACGAAGAAGGUAUUCGUAUCGUAAAGUUCUGUCCUAUGGGAAGAUAAUGACAGUACCAUAGAAGAAAGCUCCGGCUAAAUACGUGCCAGCAGCCGCGGUAAUACGUAUGGAGCGAGCGUUGUCCGGAAUUAUUGGGCGUAAAGGGUACGCAGGCGGUUUAAUAAGUCGAAUUUUAAAGAUCGGGGCUCAACCCCGUAAAGCAUUGGAAACUGAUAAACUUGAGUAGUGGAGAGGAAAGUGGAAUUCCUAGUGUAGUGGUGAAAUACGUAGAUAUUAGGAGGAAUACCAGUAGCGAAGGCGACUUUCUGGACACAAACUGACGCUGAGGUACGAAAGCGUGGGGAGCAAACAGG
rnacentral:rRNA from 1 species